AACAAACGCUGGCGGCGUGCCUAACACAUGCAAGUCGUACGAGAAAGGGUCCUUCGGGACCUGAGUAAAGUGGCGCACGGGUGAGUAGCGCGUGGAUAAUCUACCCUUCAGUUGGGAACAACUCAUCGAAAGGUGGGCUAAUACCGAAUAAUACUGCUCGACCUUGGUCGAGCAGCCAAAGAGAGCCUCUGCUUGCAAGCCCUCGCUGAAGGAUGAGUUCGCGUACCAUUAGCUUGUUGGUAGGGUAAUGGCCUACCAAGGCGACGAUGGUUAGCUGGUCUGAGAGGAUGAUCAGCCACACUGGAACUGAGACACGGUCCAGACUCCUACGGGAGGCAGCAGUGAGGAAUCUUGCGCAAUGGGGGAAACCCUGACGCAGCAACGCCGCGUGAGUGAGGAAGGUCUUCGGAUCGUAAAGCUCUGUCAGUUGGAAAAGAAAUGUCUGAGAGUCAAUCCCUUUAGGCUUGACGGUACCAACAGAGG
rnacentral:rRNA from 1 species